CACGUAGGGCGCGAGCGUUGUCCGGAAUUAUUGGGCGUAAAGAGCUCGUAGGCGGCCAGUUGCGUCUGCUGUGAAAUCCCGGGGCUCAACCCCGGGCGUGCAGUGGAUACGGGCUGGCUAGAGGCAGGCAGGGGAGAACGGAAUUCCCGGUGUAGCGGUGAAAUGCGCAGAUAUCGGGAGGAAUACCGAUGGCGAAGGCAGGUCUCUGGGCUGACACUGACGCUCAUGCACGAAAGCGUGGGGAGCAAACAGG
rnacentral:rRNA from 1 species